rnacentral:rRNA from 2 species
UCCUGACUGACCGAUAGUGAACCAGUACCGUGAGGGAAAGGCGAAAAGAACCCCGGCGAGGGGAGUGAAAAAGAACCUGAAACCGUGUACGUACAAGCAGUGGGAGCACGCUUAGGCGUGUGACUGCGUACCUUUUGUAUAAUGGGUCAGCGACUUAUAUUCUGUAGCAAGGUUAACCGAAUAGGGGAGCCGAAGGGAAACCGAGUCUUAACUGGGCGUUAAGUUGCAGGGUAUAGACCCGAAACCCGGUGAUCUAGCCAUGGGCAGGUUGAAGGUUGGGUAACACUAACUGGAGGACCGAACCGACUAAUGUUGAAAAAUUAGCGGAUGACUUGUGGCUGGGGGUGAAAGGCCAAUCAAACCGGGAGAUAGCUGGUUCUCCCCGAAAGCUAUUUAGGUAGCGCCUCGUGAAUUCAUCUCCGGGGGUAGAGCACUGUUUCGGCAAGGGGGUCAUCCCGACUUACCAACCCGAUGCAAACUGCGAAUACCGGAGAAUGUUAUCACGGGAGACACACGGCGGGUGCUAACGUCCGUCGUGAAGAGGGAAACAACCCAGACCGCCAGCUAAGGUCCCAAAGUCAUGGUUAAGUGGGAAACGAUGUGGGAAGGCCCAGACAGCCAGGAUGUUGGCUUAGAAGCAGCCAUCAUUUAAAGAAAGCGUAA